UUAAGCGACUAAGCGUACACGGUGGAUGCCCUGGCAGUCAGAGGCGAUGAAGGACGUGCUAAUCUGCGAUAAGCGUCGGUAAGGUGAUAUGAACCGUUAUAACCGGCGAUUUCCGAAUGGGGAAACCCAGUGUGUUUCGACACACUAUCAUUAACUGAAUCCAUAGGUUAAUGAGGCGAACCGGGGGAACUGAAACAUCUAAGUACCCCGAGGAAAAGAAAUCAACCGAGAUUCCCCCAGUAGCGGCGAGCGAACGGGGAGCAGCCCAGAGCCUGAAUCAGUGUGUGUGUUAGUGGAAGCGUCUGGAAAGGCGCGCGAUACAGGGUGACAGCCCCGUACACAAAAAUGCACAUGCUGUGAGCUCGAUGAGUAGGGCGGGACACGUGGUAUCCUGUCUGAAUAUGGGGGGACCAUCCUCCAAGGCUAAAUACUCCUGACUGACCGAUAGUGAACCAGUACCGUGAGGGAAAGGCGAAAAGAACCCCGGCGAGGGGAGUGAAAAAGAACCUGAAACCGUGUACGUACAAGCAGUGGGAGCCUCUUUUAUGGGGUGACUGCGUACCUUUUGUAUAAUGGGUCAGCGACUUAUAUUCUGUAGCAAGGUUAACCGAAUAGGGGAGCCGAAGGGAAACCGAGUCUUAACUGGGCGUUAAGUUGCAGGGUAUAGACCCGAAACCCGGUGAUCUAGCCAUGGGCAGGUUGAAGGUUGGGUAACACUAACUGGAGGACCGAACCGACUAAUGUUGAAAAAUUAGCGGAUGACUUGUGGCUGGGGGUGAAAGGCCAAUCAAACCGGGAGAUAGCUGGUUCUCCCCGAAAGCUAUUUAGGUAGCGCCUCGUGAAUUCAUCUCCGGGGGUAGAGCACUGUUUCGGCAAGGGGGUCAUCCCGACUUACCAACCCGAUGCAAACUGCGAAUACCGGAGAAUGUUAUCACGGGAGACACACGGCGGGUGCUAACGUCCGUCGUGAAGAGGGAAACAACCCAGACCGCCAGCUAAGGUCCCAAAGUCAUGGUUAAGUGGGAAACGAUGUGGGAAGGCCCAGACAGCCAGGAUGUUGGCUUAGAAGCAGCCAUCAUUUAAAGAAAGCGUAAUAGCUCACUGGUCGAGUCGGCCUGCGCGGAAGAUGUAACGGGGCUAAACCAUGCACCGAAGCUGCGGCAGCGACGCUUAUGCGUUGUUGGGUAGGGGAGCGUUCUGUAAGCCUGUGAAGGUGUGCUGUGAGGCAUGCUGGAGGUAUCAGAAGUGCGAAUGCUGACAUAAGUAACGAUAAAGCGGGUGAAAAGCCCGCUCGCCGGAAGACCAAGGGUUCCUGUCCAACGUUAAUCGGGGCAGGGUGAGUCGACCCCUAAGGCGAGGCCGAAAGGCGUAGUCGAUGGGAAACAGGUUAAUAUUCCUGUACUUGGUGUUACUGCGAAGGGGGGACGGAGAAGGCUAUGUUGGCCGGGCGACGGUUGUCCCGGUUUAAGCGUGUAGGCUGGUUUUCCAGGCAAAUCCGGAAAAUCAAGGCUGAGGCGUGAUGACGAGGCACUACGGUGCUGAAGCAACAAAUGCCCUGCUUCCAGGAAAAGCCUCUAAGCAUCAGGUAACAUCAAAUCGUACCCCAAACCGACACAGGUGGUCAGGUAGAGAAUACCAAGGCGCUUGAGAGAACUCGGGUGAAGGAACUAGGCAAAAUGGUGCCGUAACUUCGGGAGAAGGCACGCUGAUAUGUAGGUGAAGCGACUUGCUCGUGGAGCUGAAAUCAGUCGAAGAUACCAGCUGGCUGCAACUGUUUAUUAAAAACACAGCACUGUGCAAACACGAAAGUGGACGUAUACGGUGUGACGCCUGCCCGGUGCCGGAAGGUUAAUUGAUGGGGUCAGCGCAAGCGAAGCUCUUGAUCGAAGCCCCGGUAAACGGCGGCCGUAACUAUAACGGUCCUAAGGUAGCGAAAUUCCUUGUCGGGUAAGUUCCGACCUGCACGAAUGGCGUAAUGAUGGCCAGGCUGUCUCCACCCGAGACUCAGUGAAAUUGAACUCGCUGUGAAGAUGCAGUGUACCCGCGGCAAGACGGAAAGACCCCGUGAACCUUUACUAUAGCUUGACACUGAACAUUGAGCCUUGAUGUGUAGGAUAGGUGGGAGGCUUAGAAGUGUGGACGCCAGUCUGCAUGGAGCCGACCUUGAAAUACCACCCUUUAAUGUUUGAUGUUCUAACGUUGACCCGUAAUCCGGGUUGCGGACAGUGUCUGGUGGGUAGUUUGACUGGGGCGGUCUCCUCCUAAAGAGUAACGGAGGAGCACGAAGGUUGGCUAAUCCUGGUCGGACAUCAGGAGGUUAGUGCAAUGGCAUAAGCCAGCUUGACUGCGAGCGUGACGGCGCGAGCAGGUGCGAAAGCAGGUCAUAGUGAUCCGGUGGUUCUGAAUGGAAGGGCCAUCGCUCAACGGAUAAAAGGUACUCCGGGGAUAACAGGCUGAUACCGCCCAAGAGUUCAUAUCGACGGCGGUGUUUGGCACCUCGAUGUCGGCUCAUCACAUCCUGGGGCUGAAGUAGGUCCCAAGGGUAUGGCUGUUCGCCAUUUAAAGUGGUACGCGAGCUGGGUUUAGAACGUCGUGAGACAGUUCGGUCCCUAUCUGCCGUGGGCGCUGGAGAACUGAGGGGGGCUGCUCCUAGUACGAGAGGACCGGAGUGGACGCAUCACUGGUGUUCGGGUUGUCAUGCCAAUGGCACUGCCCGGUAGCUAAAUGCGGAAGAGAUAAGUGCUGAAAGCAUCUAAGCACGAAACUUGCCCCGAGAUGAGUUCUCCCUGACCCUUUAAGGGUCCUGAAGGAACGUUGAAGACGACGACGUUGAUAGGCCGGGUGUGUAAGCGCAGCGAUGCGUUGAGCUAACCGGUACUAAUGAACCGUGAGGCUUAACCU
rnacentral:rRNA from 1 species